CCUACGGGUGGCAGCAGUGGGGAAUAUUGCACAAUGGGGGGAACCCUGAUGCAGCAAUGCCGCGUGGGUGAAGAAGCACUCCGGUGCGUAAAGCCCUGUCAGCAGGGAAGAAAAUGUCACUACCUGGACAAGAUGCCACGGCCAACUACGUGCCAGCAGCCGCGGUAAUACGUAGGGGGCAAGCGUUAUCCGGAUUUACUGGGUGUAAAGGGAGCGCAGGUGGCGUGGCAAGUCAGUUGUGAAAACCCGGGGCUCAACCCAGGGAGUGCAUUUGAAACUGCCAUGCUGGAGUGCCGGAGAGGUAAGCGGAAUGCGUGGUGUAGCGGUGAAAUGCGUAGAUAUUAGGAGGAACACCAGUGGCGGAGGCGGCUUACUGGGCGAUAACUGACGCUGAGGCUCGAAAGCGUGGGGAGCAAACAGGAUUAGAUACCCUGGUAGUC
rnacentral:rRNA from 1 species